GGAGGAAUGGUUUUUGUAUGAUGAUUCAAUUAGAUGUGUGAAUGGUUUCAUUAUGAGCUCAAAAUAUUUAUUUGGCAAUAUUAACAUCUCCAUUUCUCC
rfam:Arabis alpina cultivar Pajares Aa.chr3_contig_822, whole genome shotgun sequence.